CUGGUUGAUCCUGCCAGUAGUCAUAUGCUUGUCUCAAAGAUUAAGCCAUGCAUGUCUAAGUAUAAGCAAUUUAUACAGUGAAACUGCGAAUGGCUCAUUAAAUCAGUUAUCGUUUAUUUGAUAGUUCCUUUACUACAUGGUAUAACUGUGGUAAUUCUAGAGCUAAUACAUGCUUAAAAUCUCGACCCUUUGGAAGAGAUGUAUUUAUUAGAUAAAAAAUCAAUGUCUUCGGACUCUUUGAUGAUUCAUAAUAACUUUUCGAAUCGCAUGGCCUUGUGCUGGCGAUGGUUCAUUCAAAUUUCUGCCCUAUCAACUUUCGAUGGUAGGAUAGUGGCCUACCAUGGUUUCAACGGGUAACGGGGAAUAAGGGUUCGAUUCCGGAGAGGGAGCCUGAGAAACGGCUACCACAUCCAAGGAAGGCAGCAGGCGCGCAAAUUACCCAAUCCUAAUUCAGGGAGGUAGUGACAAUAAAUAACGAUACAGGGCCCAUUCGGGUCUUGUAAUUGGAAUGAGUACAAUGUAAAUACCUUAACGAGGAACAAUUGGAGGGCAAGUCUGG
rnacentral:rRNA from 1 species